ensembl:lncRNA
GGAACGUUUUUGCUUGAGUUAACUGCUUAUUUAAUUAUACUUUUUUUCCUUUAAAAUAAAUUUAAGCUUCUGGAAUGUUGUUUUAAUUUCAGUUACAUUACAGCUGGCUUUUAAUUCAUCAAGAGCUCCAGUCACAGCACAACGAGGGAUACGGCUCUCCUCUGUCUCCCCCAACUGGACCUGAUGGGUAUUGCUUCACAUUCUGGUAUCACAUGUUCGGAGCAACAGUGGGAUCAUUAAGAAUGUCUAUACAUGACAUUACAUCCGAUCUCAUCACAUCAGUAAGACUCACAAGAAUAAUAUUUUAGGGCAUUUUUAUGGGUUUAUCUGCUUACACAUGUAAGAAAUGCUUUUAAAGUAAAAUGUAAAUGCUUUACUCUUAUAGUAAAUGUUUUACUAUAAAAUAUGUUUUAUAAUAACCAGAAUGUUUCUUUUUUUCGCUCCUAAAACUGUAGAUGUGGCAAAGGAAAGGAAGGGUUCUCAGGGAACUGAAUGACAGGUGGCUCAGAACAUGUGCAACUGACAGAAAUUCAUCAGAUAUUAAUUGAGGCUUCAGUUGGAGGGCUGUCUGGUCACAUUGCUGUAGAUGAUUUAUCUGUCACUAAAGGUGCCUGUACUACCAACCACAGAGGGAAUUUGUGACUUUGAAGAGGAGGAUUGUGGCUGGAUACAACAG